CAGCAGCCGCGGUAAUACGAAGGGGGCUAGCGUUGUUCGGAAUUACUGGGCGUAAAGCGCACGUAGGCGGAUAUUUAAGUCAGGGGUGAAAUCCCAGAGCUCAACUCUGGAACUGCCUUUGAUACUGGGUAUCUUGAGUAUGGAAGAGGUGAGUGGAAUUCCGAGUGUAGAGGUGAAAUUCGUAGAUAUUCGGAGGAACACCAGUGGCGAAGGCGGCUCACUGGACCAUAACUGACGCUGAUGCACGAAAGCUAGGGGAGCAAACAGGAUUAGAUACCCCGGUAGUCCCUGUCUCUUAUAC
rnacentral:rRNA from 1 species